rnacentral:lncRNA from 1 species
AAGACAGGUAGUCCUCAUCUCCUCAGUUUUCUUAUUUGCAAAGAAAACUAGGAAAUAAGAAGCUAAUGGAAUUAAAAUGUAUUCUGCACCAGCUGUAUGACUGGAAUUUUAGGUGCUGUCCUAUAUUUACAGCAACAUGGUAAGUUGGGAGUUCAUUGAGGCCAGGGGUCGGGGCAGGUGUGUGGGUCUAGGGAGGAGAGUGGAAACUGUGAAUUCCUGUGUGCUUGUCUUGUUGCUUCAAUGAGGAGGCCUGAUUGAGGCAAGUCAGCCUCCACCUGCUUUUCCUGGGUCCUGUCUUGGAAGGACAGAGAGCAGCUAAAUUCUAGUGUAUCUUAAAUCAGUGAGGGUCAAAUAAGCUAAAAGCAGCUGAAAUUCCUUUGUUCCCUGUGAGCUGGGAAAACAGCGAAGGCCUGAGUCGUAGAGAUUGUCAGGUCCAUUUUGGCUUCUUUCCACACCCACAGUCUCGCGUUUGUUCCCCAGCCCUCGGCUGCCUCUUAACUUUGGGUUGACUUUCAACAGUGAAUAGUCUCUUGGGUCUGAAUAUACCUGGGUUUGUUUUUGUGUUUUUGAGACGGAGUCUCGCUCUGUCGGCCAGGUUGGAGUGCAGUGGUGCAAUCUCAGCUCACUGCAACCUCCCCCUCCUGGGUUCAAGCGAUUCUCCUGCCUCAGCCUCCUGAGUAGCUGAGAUUAUAGGCCUACCACCAUGCCCAGCCAAUUUUUGUAUUUUUAGUAGAAACGGGACUUCACCAUGUUGCCCAGGCUGGCCUCGAACUCCUGACCUCAAGUGAUCCACCCGCCUCGGCCUCCCAAAGUGCUGGGAUUACAGGCAUGAGCUGCCGCACCCGGCCUCCACCUGAUCCUAGCACUUUGGGAGGCCGAGGUGGGCAGAUCACUUGAGAUCAUGAGUUCAAGACCAGCCUGGUCAACAUGGUGAAACCCAGUCUCUACUAAAAAUACAGAAAUUAGCCAGGCAUUGCGGAGGGUGCCUGUCAUCCCAGCUACUUGGGAGGCCGAGGUAGGAGAAUUGCUUGAACCCAGGAGGCAGAGGUUGCAGUGAGCUGAGAUGGCACCACUACACUCCAGGCUGAGUGUUUUUUUUUUUAGAGAGAUGGGAUCUUGUCAUCUUGCCCCGGCUAGUCUCAAACCCCUGGGCUCAAGUGAUCCUCUCACCUCAGAUCAUUUUUCUUUAGAAGAAAGUAAAGGCAAUAAAAAAGCAUUAGAAAAACAAACUGGCUGGGCUAGGUGGCUCACACCUGUAAUCCUAACACUUUAGGAAGCCAAGGUGGGAAGGUCAUUUGAGGACAGGAGUUCAAGACUGGCCUGGGAAACAUAGUGAGACCUCCUCUCUACAACAACAACAACAAAAUUAGCUGGGUGUGGUGGCAUGUGCCUGUAGUCCCAGCUACUCAGGUGGCUGAGGUUGGAGGAUCGCUUGAGCCCAGGAGGUAGAGGCUGCAGUGAGCCAUGAUCCCACCACUGCACUCCAGCCUGGGAAACAGAGCAAGAACCUGUCUCCGUUAAAAAACAAAACAAAUAGAAACUGAGAGUAGUGUGAUGUGACAUGAGGUUGUCUGUAGAAUGCUGACCAGCCUGGCCAACAUGACGAAACCCCGUCUCUACCAAAAAUACAAAAAUUAGCUGGGCGUGGUGGUGCAUGCCGGUGGUCCCAGCUACUUGUAGGCUGAAGCAUGAGAAUCGCUUAAGCCUGGGAGGUGGAGAUUGCAGUGAGCUGAGAUCGCGCCACUGCAUUACAGCCUGGGCGACAGAGCGAAACUCUGUCUCAAAAAAAAAUAUAUAUAUAUUAUAUAUCUCUAUAUAUAUCUAUAUAUAUUUUAUAUUUUUUAUAUAUAAAAUAUAUAAAAAAUUUGCUGGGCGCAGUGGCUCACGCCUGUAAUCCCAGCACUUUGGGAGGCCGAGGCGGGUGGAUCAUGAGGUCAGGAGAUUGAGACCACCCUGGCUAACACGGUGAAACCCCGUCUCUACUAAAUAUAUAUAAAAAAAAAAAUUAGCCGGGUGUGGUGGCGGGUGCCUGUAGUCCCAGCUGCUUGGGAGGCUGAGGCAGGAGAAUGGCGUGAACCUGGGAGGCGGAGCUU